AUAAAGACUUCGACUACACCAUCAAAGCUUUGAGAAGCAAGAAGAAGCUUGGUUAGUGUUUUGGAGUCGAAUAUGACUUGAUGUCAUGUGUAUGAUUCAGUAUAAGAACUUAAACCGCAACCCGAGCUUAAAAGCCUAAGUAGUAUUUCCUUGUUAGAUGAUACAAAGCCAAAGCCUCAUACAGACUUUAGCUACACCAUCAAAGCUUUGAGAAGCAAGAAGAAGCUUGGUUAGUGUUUUGGAGUCAAUAU
rnacentral:sRNA from 1 species